UACCAGCGGGUACCUCUUACUCGCGGGUACUAAAUACCCUUAUCAGAUUUUAUCCGCGGAUAUCCACGAGUAUGGGUUUUUUUGCCAUCCAUAAUCACCACCACAAUUAUCACUACUAUCAUAUAUAUGAGAAAAUUCAUAUUAAGAAUCACAUUUAUAGUAUCCACCACAACAAUUGCAACCACCUCCACCUCACAUGGAUCUUAAUCGCAUCCACCAACAUUUUUAUACUACCCUUCACCACCAUAAUCACCACAUGGUACAAAUCUACACUUGUAAGGGCCUGCAGAAAUAAAGGGGCUAUUGGACCUUGUUUGAGGCAGUCAGACCCAUAAAAACUAAGGGUACCUCAGCCUUAGAAGGAGGCUUUUCAAAAAUUCAGAUUUCAUUCAGCCAACUUCCCCUUCUCUCUCUUAAACUCUUUUGCCCUAAAUUUUCUCUGUCUUCACUCUAAAAUUUCCAUUCACUGAACCGUUCAAACUUGGAUUUGAAUGUGCUCAAGCGUUCCCCACACUGAAGGCUUCCUUUUGAGUCGAACAUUUUUCCAAUCAGACCGGUAAGUAGUUUUCUCCCAUUCUCCGCU
rnacentral:lncRNA from 1 species